rnacentral:rRNA from 1 species
GACGAACGCUGGCGGCGUGCUUAACACAUGCAAGUCGACAUGAUUGGCGAACGGGUGAGUAAUACGCGGGUCUCCUGCUCUCCUUUUUGGGUUAAGCUGUGGAAACGGGGUCUAAUACCGAAUAAAGGGGGAUGGGCUCGCGGCCUAUCAGCUUGUUGGUGGGGUGAUGGCCUACCAAGGCGGUGACGGGUAGCCGGCCUGAGAGGGUGACCGGCCACAUGGGGACUGUGAUUCUGCCCCGACUCCUACUGGAUGCAGCAUUGGGGGUUUUUGCACAUUGGGCGAAAGCCUCAUGCAGCGACGCCGCGUGGGUGAUGGAGGCCUUCGGAUUGUUAUCCUCGUUCGCUAUCGAACGGGUAGGUGGAAAAGAAGCGCCGGCUAACUACGUGCCAGCAGCCGCGGUAAUUC